GUGCAUUUCAGCAGCACAUAUACUAAAAUUGGAAUGAUAUGGAGAGGAUUAGAAUGGUCCCCAUGCAGGCAUGACACUCAAAUUCAUAAAGCAUUCCAUAUUUUU